rnacentral:rRNA from 1 species
UACGUAGGGUGCAAGCGUUGUCCGGGAUUAUUGGGCGUAAAGAGCUCGUAGGCGGUCUGUCGCGUCGGCUGUGAAAACCUGGGGCUUAACUCCGGGCCUGCAGCCGAUACGGGCAGACUAGAGUUCGGCAGGGGAGACUGGAAUUCCUGGUGUAGCGGUGAAAUGCGCAGAUAUCAGGAAGAACACCCGUGGCGAAGGCGGCUCUCUGGGACGGUACUGACGCUGAGACGCGAAAGCGUGGGGAGCGAACAGG